rnacentral:lncRNA from 1 species
AGAUUCAAUAGAAGAGAUUAUACUUGAGGGAUCCUUGAAGAAGGAAAGAGCAUAGACAAGUAGAGAGGUUAAGACAUACUUGAGUAAGAUCAGACGACCGCCAAAAAAAGGGAAGCGACUCUUCCAUCCAUAUGACAUGUUCUUUAUAUGAGCUAUCAUCGGUUCCCAAAAAGCCAAACGACGCGGAUCACCACCAAUAGAAACCUAGAUAAAGGAAAGACACAUUUCCCACUCUACAGCACAGAGCCUAUGCGGCCUCAUGUAACUAGGAAUCAGGGAUAUUAACCCUUACCUGCAAACUCUUGUUGAAAUUAACCUUCAAAAUCAACAUAGACUCGAACACCACCAAGAAGGCUUAAAGCGCAUGGACAUUCACCCAGGUUUUAGACCCGACCAGCAGCGUAUCAUCGGCAAACUGAAGGUGUGAGACCGAAACCCGAAACAUGAUUUUGUUCUCCAACAUUAUACCCCGUAAACAAAUUACUCUCAACCAUAGCAUGCAUCAUCACAUUCAAACCUUCGGCUGUUAGAAGAAAAAGAAAAUGAGAAAGUGGAUCCCCUUGUCUUAAACCCCUCUCAAGAGGGAACUCAUCAGUGGGACUACCGUUAACCAAGAUUGACGUUGUCGUCGUGCUAACACAUUCUCUAAUCCAUUUUCGCCACAACGUCGAAAAAGACAUAUGUCCCAUAACAUUAUCCAGAUAGCCCAGUCCAUCGAAUCAUAGGAUUUCUCGAAAUCCACCUUUAAUAACAACAAUUCCUUGUUAUACCUACGCGCCUCAUCAACCACCUCAUUCGCAAUGAGGAUUCCAUCGAGGAUUUGCACAUCCUUUACGAACGCACUUUGCGACUCAAAAAUGACACUACCAAUACUGGAUGGAAAAUUGAAGGUGUAAAACGAGACUUGGCUGAUAUAUGUGAUACGUACUAUUCACAUAAAACCGUUGGAACGAAGAAUUUGCGAUCUGUCAAUGAAGUGGUGAAUCACUUACUUCCUGAAGGAUACCCCAAGUUACAUUGCAAGAAGGGAAAAUUAAAGGGCAAUGAAGUUAAGGAUGAAAACAGUAAUCUUGAAUCGACGGGAAA